CCUACGGGAGGCAGCAGUGGGGAAUAUUGGGCAAUGGGCGCAAGCCUGACCCAGCAACGCCGCGUGAAGGAAGAAGGCUUUCGGGUUGUAAACUUCUUUUAUCAGGGACGAAGCAAGUGACGGUACCUGAUGAAUAAGCCACGGCUAACUACGUGCCAGCAGCCGCGGUAAUACGUAGGUGGCAAGCGUUAUCCGGAUUUACUGGGUGUAAAGGUCGUGUAGGCGGGAGUGCAAGUCAGAUGUGAAAACUAUGGGCUCAACCCAUAGCCUGCAUUUGAAACUGUAGUUCUUGAGUGCUGGAGAGGCAAUCGGAAUUCCGGGUGUAGCGGUGAAAUGCGUAGAGAUACGGAGGAACACCAGUGGCGAAGGCGGAUUGCUGGACAGUAACUGACGCUGAGGCGCGAAAGCGUGGGGAGCAAACAGGAUUAGAUACCCGAGUAGUC
rnacentral:rRNA from 1 species